rnacentral:rRNA from 1 species
AUUGAACGCUGGCGGCAUGCCUAACACAUGCAAGUCGAACGGCAGCACGGGUUCUUGUAUCUGGUGGCGAGUGGCGAACGGGUGAGAAAUACAUCGGAACAUGUCCUGUAGUGGGGGAGAGCCCGGCGAAAGCCGGAUUAAUACCGCCUACGAUUUACGGAUGAAAGCGGGGGACCUACUGGCCUCGCGCCAUAGGGUUGGCCGAUGGCGGAUUAGCUAGUUGGUGGGGUAAAGGCCUACCAAGGCGACGAUCAGUAGCUGGUCUGAGAGGACGACCAGCCACACUGGGACUGAGACACGGCCCAGACUCCUACGGGAGGCAGCAGUAGGGAAUUUUGAGCAAUGGGGGAAAGCCUGAUACAGCAAUGCCGCGUGUGUGAAGAAGGCCUUCGGAUUGUAAAGCAAUUUUGUCCGGAAAGAAGUACUUGGCACUAAUACGGGCGGGGGAUGACGGUACCGGAAGAAUAAGCACCGGCUAACUACGUG